rnacentral:rRNA from 1 species
CGCGUAGGUGGUUUGAUAAGCGAGAUGUGAAAGCCCCGGGCUUAACCUGGGAACGGCAUUUCGAACUGUCAGGCUAGAGUAUGGUAGAGGAGUGUGGAAUUUCCUGUGUAGCGGUGAAAUGCGUAGAUAUAGGAAGGAACACCAGUGGCGAAGGCGGCACUCCGGACCAAUACUGACACUGAGGUGCGAAAGCGUGGGGAGCAAACA